CAGUCGCCGCGGUAAUACGGAGGGUGCAAGCGUUAAUCGGAAUUACUGGGCGUAAAGCGCACGCAGGCGGUCUGACAAGUCAGAUGUGAAAUCCCCGGGCUUAACCUGGGAACUGCAUUUGAAACUGUCAGGCUGGAGUCUUGUAGAGGGGGGGUGGAAUUCCAGGUGUAGCGGUGAAAUGCGUAGAGAUCUGGAGGAAUACCGGUGGCGAAGGCGGCCCCCUGGACAAAGACUGACGCUCAGGUGCGAAAGCGUGGGGAGCAAACAGGAUUAGAUAUCCGUGUAGUCCCUGUCUCUUAUA
rnacentral:rRNA from 1 species